CAGUCGCCACGGUAAUACGUAGGGUGCAAGCGUUAAUCGGAAUUACUGGGCGUAAAGCGUGCGCAGGCGGUUAUAUAAGUCAGAUGUGAAAUCCCCGGGCUCAACCUGGGAACUGCAUUUGUGACUGUAUGGCUAGAGUGUGUCAGAGGGGGGUAGAAUUCCACGUGUAGCAGUGAAAUGCGUAGAUAUGUGGAGGAAUACCGAUGGCGAAGGCAGCCCCCUGGGAUAACACUGACGCUCAUGCACGAAAGCGUGGGGAGCAAACAGGAUUAGAUACCCCGGUAGUCCCUGUCUCUUAUAC
rnacentral:rRNA from 1 species